rnacentral:SRP_RNA from 1 species
UUUCCGUGCUAGGUGGGGAGGUAGCGGUGCCCUGUCACUCGCAAUCCGCUAUAGCGAGGCUGAAUCCCUUCUAGAGGUUUUGUCACCGUAGGGUCUGCCCUAAGUAAGUGGUGUUGACGCUUGGGUUCUACGCAACGAAAACCCACGAACCCUGUCAGGUCCGGAAGGAAGCAGCAGUAAGUGGCCCCUUUCGUGUGCCGUAGAGUCGCCUGGGCCGAGCUAACUGCUCAGGUAACGCCUAGGGUGGCAUGAUCGAAGGAAGGUGCACGGUUU